AUUGAACGCUGGCGGUAGGCCUAACACAUGCCAGUCGAACGGCAGCACAGUAAUAGCUUUCUCGUCCGGUUGGCGAGUGGCGGACGGUUUAGGAAUACAUCCGAAUCUACUUUUUCUUGGUGGAUAACGUCGUGACACUUACCCUAUUACCGCAUACGACCUACGCGUGAAAGCAUGGGAUCUUCCGACCUUGCGCGAUUGAAUGAGCCGAUGUCGGAUUAGCUAGUUGGCGGGGUAACGGCCCACCAAGGCGACGAUCCGUAGCUGGUCUGAGAGGAUGAUCAGCCACACUGGAACUGAGACACGGCCCAGACUCCUACGGGAGGCAGCAGUGGGGAAUAUUGGACAAUGGGCGCAAGCCUGAUCCAGCCAUACCGCGUGGGUGAAGAAGGCCUUCGGGUUGUAAAGCCCUUUUGUUGGGAAAGAAAAGCAGCAGGUUAAUACCCCGCUGUUCUGACGGUACCCAAAGAAUAAGCACCGGCUAACUUCGUG
rnacentral:rRNA from 1 species